rnacentral:tRNA from 1 species
UCUCAGGUGAUCUAGUGGUUAGGACUCAGCACUUUCAUCUCUGCAGCUCAGGUUCAAUUCCUGGUCUGGGAA